rnacentral:rRNA from 1 species
CAAUAAGCGGAGGAAAAGAAACCAACAAGGAUUGCCUCUAGUAACGGCGAGUCGAACCGGGCAAUAGCUCAGACUUGGAAAAUCUGGCGUCUACGAGCGUCCGAGAUUGUAGUCUGGUAGAGGACUGUCCUCUGACGGUGGGCACCCCGGAACUAAGUUUCCCCUGGAAACGGGGGCGUCAUAGAAGGGGUGAGAGUCCCGUUAGUGCCGCUCGGAACCUGUGGCUACCAUCGCAUACGCUGCUUCCGAACAGAGUUCGGAUUUGGUUUGGGGGAGAUGUCCCAGCCCUCAUAUAAAUGGGCGAGUGAUAAAUAUCCCGCUUCCAUAGGACUCUUAGUAUAUUGGGGGCACAAAGAGCACGCAGUAUGAGCCGACCACCGAUAUCCGACGUAGGGUCAAAAGAGUAUAGAAAAGGGACUUCUUGUAGGAAGGAGAAGAGUUUAAGGAGGUGCCAUCGUAAAAUAGUUGCUUGGGAAGGGGAGAACGGGGAUUGGGGGGGCCCCCGGCACAAUUGCCCUCCCCCCGGGUUGGUGGAACUGUUCCGGGAUCCGUGGGUCUGAACCCCGGGCCUUGGUAUCCCCCGCCCNAGUUCGUUUAGCCCAAGGGGGCGCCGCCCAUUUACCCCCUUGGAUUGGGCACUUCCCCGGAUCAGCCAGCUCGAAAGGACCUGGUAGCCGUUCCCAUCUUGCACCUUGGUGGGAAAAAACCCCUUCUCUUGGUUGAAUUGCCCAAAUCCCAUAGGCCCACCGGGGGGGGCCCAAGGGCUUCCGGGUCCCUCUGGGGG